UCAAACUCUACUGCAUGUAGGCACCUGCUGAUGCUGACUUCGACCGCUUCGGCUUCGGCCCAGAGUUUCGCCGGGCACUGGACAAGAUUGUAGAGAAACACAGGAAGAGGCGCAGGGAUGAGGCCUUGGCCUGUGGUGCUGGCUUCAGUCUUGGAGCACUCACCUUUUUGCUUGGGGUCCAUAGGCUCGGUUGAAGGGAGAUGGCUCAAUGGUGAAUGACUGGAAUAUCUAUCCUGCACCGCAUGUUCUACUAUCUACUACUGCACCCGCAAGUUCUACUAUCUACUAGUGCUAUAUCCUGCACCGCAAGUUCUACUAUCUACUAGUACUCUAUAUAUCAUGCAUGUUUUAACUAGCCGGUGUACUCUGUAAUUCCUGGCUUGUGUGUUAUGUAAGAUCACUACUGUAUGUACAAUGGGGAUCCAGGUUCUGUGGGAUCUAAUUUCGGUGGUUGCAUGUGGGAUGUAAGGGCA